rnacentral:rRNA from 1 species
GACGGAGGGGGCUAGCGUUGUUCGGAAUUACUGGGCGUAAAGGGCGCGUAGGCGGAUUAGUAAGUUGGGAGUGAAAUCCCGGGGCUUAACCUCGGAACAGCUUUCAAAACUGCUAGUCUAGAGUGUAGUAGGGGAUGAUGGAAUUCCUAGUGUAGAGGUGAAAUUCUUAGAUAUUAGGAGGAACACCGGUGGCGAAGGCGGUCAUCUGGGCUACAACUGACGCUGAGGCGCGAAAGCGUGGGGAGCAAACAGG